rfam:Felis catus isolate Cinnamon breed Abyssinian chromosome D3, whole genome shotgun sequence.
AACAAGGCUUUCCUCAAAGCCAUUUUUUUCUACAAUAAAAAUGUCCU